AUGGACACCCUUGAUAAAAAUGAAUUGGUGGGACAAUUUGUUCAAUGGGGAGUGGUGGAAGAAAUGGUUGUAAUUGCUGGUGAUGCACUAAUAACUUUUGUUUUCCUUCCCUGUCUAAUUCCUUGCAUGAUCUGGACUAUAACAAAUGCUGUCCAAACCUCCCUUGAACUGAGCUUACAAAAGAAGUUGACUGAUGAAAGAAUUGAAAACCUCCGGGUGAUGAAAAUUGAGAACCCAAUGCGGGCUAAAAGCCCGAUCAAAGUUUUAAAGGGGGGAAUUGUUAUAAGGGAUCUUUUCAUUGAACUUGGGAGGCUAAUUAAAGUUGUUAUUGUUGGAGAGUUAAUUGAUGUUAUGACAAAAGUCAGCUAUGUUUAAUUAUGUUGUAAAGUUGUUAAGGUGAUUGUUAAGAUGAUUGUUAAGGAUUCUGGAGUGUUCGGGGUUGAUACUGGAUUGGGGACAGAAUGGGGGAUUGGUAAGAGAUAUAAGGGGCUUAUGGGGGCCUGGAAUAGAACAUUCAAGAACAUGGUGUCAUCAGCACCACGAGUAAUGAUUGGAAGAAACAUCCACCAAUCAUUCGACACCCUGGGAAAAUGAUUGGACCAGGAUGAACGCGGCUAUGGACCAAUCAGAGCCUAAGAAGGCAACCAAUCCCAGAAAGGAUCCAAAACGGACCAAUCCAAGCCUAAGGAAGGGUAUAAAACAGGGUGUUACGUGUUAGCAGGGGCUUUUUCUGUUUGGGAAUUUGUUUAGGUAUGUUGUUGCUGUCCCCAUGUGGAGCACACAGGACUAACCUGUGUUCUCCUUGGGCUGCAGCUCAGUAUUAAUAAACAGGCCAGGCUUUAAUUACA
rnacentral:lncRNA from 1 species